rnacentral:rRNA from 1 species
GAUGAACGCUGGCGGCGUGCUUAACACAUGCAAGUCGAGCGAAGCACUUAUCAUUGACUCUUCGGAAGAUUUGAUAUUUGACUGAGCGGCGGACGGGUGAGUAACGCGUGGGUAACCUGCCUCAUACAGGGGAAUAACAGUUAGAAAUGGCUGCUAAUGCCGCAUAAGCGCACAGGACCGCAUGGUCUGGUGUGAAAAACUGAGGUGGUAUGAGAUGGACCCGCGUCUGAUUAGGUAGUUGGUGGGGUAACGGCCUACCAAGCCGACGAUCAGUAGCCGGCCUGAGAGGGUGAACGGCCACAUUGGGACUGAGACACGGCCCAGACUCCUACGGGAGGCAGCAGUGGGGAAUAUUGCACAAUGGGGGAAACCCUGAUGCAGCGACGCCGCGUGAAGGAAGAAGUAUCUCGGUAUGUAAACUUCUAUCAGCAGGGAAGAAAAUGACGGUACCUGACUAAGAAGC